GCCGCAUUCGUCUAGUGGUCCAGGACAUCAGAUUCUCAGUCUGAGGAUCGCGGGUUCGAAUCCCGCAUGCGGUA
rnacentral:tRNA from 1 species